UAUUCAUGCAGUCGAGCGAAUGGAUUAAGAGCUUGCUCUUAUGAAGUUAGCGGCGGACGGGUGAGUAACACGUGGGUAACCUGCCCAUAAGACUGGGAUAACUCCGGGAAACCGGGGCUAAUACCGGAUAACAUUUUGAACUGCAUGGUUCGAAAUUGAAAGGCGGCUUCGGCUGUCACUUAUGGAUGGACCCGCGUCGCAUUAGCUAGUUGGUGAGGUAACGGCUCACCAAGGCAACGAUGCGUAGCCGACCUGAGAGGGUGAUCGGCCACACUGGGACUGAGACACGGCCCAGACUCCUACGGGAGGCAGCAGUAGGGAAUCUUCCGCAAUGGACGAAAGUCUGACGGAGCAACGCCGCGUGAGUGAUGAAGGCUUUCGGGUCGUAAAACUCUGUUGUUAGGGAAGAACAAGUGCUAGUUGAAUAAGCUGGCACCUUGACGGUACCUAACCAGAAAGCCACGGCUAACUACGUGCCAGCAGCCGCGGUAAUACGUAGGUGGCAAGCGUUAUCCGGAAUUAUUGGGCGUAAAGCGCGCGCAGGUGGUUUCUUAAGUCUGAUGUGAAAGCCCACGGCUCAACCGUGGAGGGUCAUUGGAAACUGGGAGACUUGAGUGCAGAAGAGGAAAGUGGAAUUCCAUGUGUAGCGGUGAAAUGCGUAGAGAUAUGGAGGAACACCAGUGGCGAAGGCGACUUUCUGGUCUGUAACUGACACUGAGGCGCGAAAGCGUGGGGAGCAAACAGGUUAGC
rnacentral:rRNA from 1 species